UGUUUAAUUGUGUAAGACAGCUUGACAAAUCAAUGAUUGUAAUUAUCUUGAGUUGCAGCAAAAUGUACUCUGGUCCGCCUGUUAUGUAUGGAGACAUUUAUUCUUAAAGGAGUAAACUGUUAAAAUC